rnacentral:rRNA from 1 species
UGAGGAAUCUUCCACAAUGGGCGAAAGCCUGAUGGAGCGACGCCGCGUGCAGGAUGAAGGCCUUCGGGUUGUAAACUGCUUUUAUAAGUGAAGAAUAUGACGGUAACUUAUGAAUAAGCACCGGCUAACUACGUGCCAGCAGCCGCGGUCAUACGUAGGGUGCAAGCAUUAUCCGGAGUGACUGGGCGUAAAGAGUUGCGUAGGUGGUCAGUAAAGCGAAUAGUGAAAUCAGGCGGCUCAACCGUUCUGGCUAUUAUUCGAACUCACUGACUCGAGAAUGGUAGAGGUAACUGGAAUUUCUUGUGUAGGAGUGAAAUCCGUAGAUAUAAGAAGGAACACCAAUGGCGUAGGCAGGUUACUGGACCAUUUCUGACACUGAGGCACGAAAGCGUGGGGAGCGAACCGGAUUAGAUACCCGCGUAGUCC